UUGAGAUUUAAAAGGCCGCGGUAUUAUGACCGUGCUAAGGUAGCAUAAUCAUUAGUCUUUUAAUUGGAGGCUGGAAUGAAUGGUCGGACAAGAGAUAAGCUGUCUUAAGUGAAAAUAUUGAAUUUAACUUUUAAGUGAAAAGGCUUAAAUUUUCUAAGGGGACGAUAAGACCCUAUAAAACUUUAUAUUUUAAAAUAAUAAUUAAUUUUGUAUGGUAGUUUUAUUUUUAAGUAUUUUAUUGGGGUGAUAAAGAUAAAAUAACAAAUAACUGUCUUUUUUUUUAUUACAAUAAUAUUUGGGUAAAUGAACCUGGUAAGGGAAAUAAGAUUAAGUUACUUUAGGGAUAACAGCGUAAUUUUUUUUAAGAGUUCUUAUCGACAAGAAAGUUUGCGACCUCGAUGUUGAAUUAAAAGUUCUUUAUAGAGCAGAAACUAUAAAAGAAGGUCUGUUCGACCUUUAAAAUUUU
rnacentral:rRNA from 1 species